rnacentral:rRNA from 1 species
AAAGAGUUUGAUCAUGGCUCAGGACGAACGCUGGCGGCGUGCUUAACACAUGCAAGUCGAACGGUGAAGCGGGUGCUUGCACUCGUGGAUCAGUGGCGAACGGGUGAGUAACACGUGAGUAACCUGCCCUCCACUCUGGGAUAAGCGCUGGAAACGGCGUCUAAUACUGGAUACGACCGACCCUCGCAUGGGGUGUUGGUGGAAAGAUUUAUCGGUGGUGGAUGGACUCGCGGCCUAUCAGCUUGUUGGUGGGGUAAUGGCCUACCAAGGCGACGACGGGUAGCCGGCCUGAGAGGGCGACCGGCCACACUGGGACUGAGACACGGCCCAGACUCCUACGGGAGGCAGCAGUGGGGAAUAUUGCACAAUGGGCGAAAGCCUGAUGCAGCGACGCCGCGUGAGGGAUGACGGCCUUCGGGUUGUAAACCUCUUUCAGCAGGGAAGAAGCUUUUGUGACGGUACCUGCAGAAGAAGCACCGGCUAACUACGUGCCAGCAGCCGCGGUAAUACGUAGGGUGCGAGCGUUGUCCGGAAUUAUUGGGCGUAAAGAGCUUGUAGGCGGUUUGUCGCGUCUGCUGUGAAAAUUCAGGGCUUAACCCUGGACGUGCAGUGGGUACGGGCAGACUAGAGUAUGGUAGGGGAGACUGGAAUUCCUGGUGUAGCGGUGGAAUGCGCAGAUAUCAGGAGGAACACCGAUGGCGAAGGCAGGUCUCUGGGCCAUUACUGACGCUGAGAAGCGAAAGCAUGGGGAGCGAACAGGAUUAGAUACCCUGGUAGUCCAUGCCGUAAACGUUGGGCGCUAGGCGUGGGUCUCAUUCCACGAGAUCCGUGUCGCAGCUAACGCAUUAAGCGCCCCGCCUGGGGAGUACGGCCGCAAGGCUAAAACUCAAAGGAAUUGACGGGGGCCCGCACAAGCGGCGGAGCAUGCUGAUUAAUUCGAUGCAACGCGAAGAACCUUACCAAGGCUUGACAUGCACCGGAUCGCCUCAGAGAUGGGGUUUCCCUUUGGGCUGGUGUACAGGUGGUGCAUGGUUGUCGUCAGCUCGUGUCGUGAGAUGUUGGGUUAAGUCCCGCAACGAGCGCAACCCUCGUUCUAUGUUGCCAGCACGUAAUGGUGGGGACUCAUAGGAGACUGCCGGGGUCAACUCGGAGGAAGGUGGGGAUGACGUCAAAUCAUCAUGCCCCUUAUGUCUUGGGCUUCAAGCAUGCUACAAUGGCCGGUACAGAGGGUUGCGAAACCGUGAGGUGGAGCGAAUCCCAAAAAACCGGUCUCAGUUCGGAUUGGGGUCUGCAACUCGACCCCAUGAAGUCGGAGUCGCUAGUAAUCGCAGAUCAGCAACGCUGCGGUGAAUACGUUCCCGGGCCUUGUACACACCGCCCGUCAAGUCACGAAAGUCGGUAACACCCGAAGACGGUGGCCUAACCCUUGUGGAAGGAGCCGUCUAAGGUGGGACCGGUGAUUGGGG